AUAGAGAAAGAUCAUCAGCCUUUGGUGCAUCUUCAAAAGGCAAAGGUUUCCAAUGGUAGAUUAAUGGGAUGGUCUCUUUUUCUACAGUCAUAUAAUUUCAGAGUGGAGGUUAUCAAGGGGUCAGAAAACGUGGAAGCUGAUUUUCUGAGCUGUCACAUUACUGUACGAAUGUUAGUACAUUCCAAGUUCUUUUUUGUAUAGUUUUCCUUGUAAUGUACCUCAAAAUCUUAUUUUGUCUCAGGAAGGGAGUUAUUGUCACAUUUAAUAUUAUAAUUGGUGUAUAAUGUUCCAAUUAUAUCGCUGAAUACAUUUCAAGUUUGUAACUACCAUGUCGGUGGUCACUGGGCUCGUUAAGUGUAUUAGGCAGCCAGGUUCUUGAGGCGUCUUCGACACUGGAACCGAGUGGUCGGGGUCAUUCUGUGAUCAACGCUACGUGAUUUUUGGUGCUCCCAUGCUUCGUGAUCUUGGGAAAACUUUGUUACCUGUGUGGUUCUGUUGUUCUAUUACCUGUGUGGUAUUGUUACCUGUGUGGUAUUUUCUUAAUAUAUCCCUCAACAUAUAAGGACCCAACACUACGAAUGGACCGAUUAUGGGAGGGCUGUAUUUUGUUCCAGUGACCAUUUUGGGUGCAGUAUAUCACAGUUCGAGCUUCUGUGUGCAAGUUGUCUACGAUUCCUGUGGGUCUGCGGCACCACUCUUGCAACCUACACCAGAUCACAGCUCACAGCUUUAGUGGAUGGGCCAAGACGGGCUCGUUAUUCAGCACCUAUAUACCAGUUUUGCUUAGAUGUAGCAUGAAAAUUGUUUAUGUCAUUUGCAUACCCUCUUUUGUGUUAAAUUGAUCCUAAUUACUAUUGUGUUAAAUAAAAUGUUAUGAUUUACUUCUGUUAUCACUUGCUAACAAAAGUCUAUCUUCUUUAAGUAGGAGGUUGGUUGGUUAAAGAACCCAACACAAUUCAGUGGUAGGGCUCAAGUGUGAUUUAGCUUACUAACAGUGUACUAACAACAUAUCUUGCUUUUCAGGUUUAUGGGUUUCACUUCUGGACAGAGCAGCUUAACGUUUCAAAUUUUAUACGAUUAUCAUCAUAUGGCUAGUUAAUGCUAGAUGGAUAUUCUAACAGUUCCUGCCACAAUAAAAGUACUAUAUGUGCAGGUCUUUGGAUAUGAUUACAUCUACAGCAUUUUUGGAGGUUUACCAUACAGAGUUACUUAGGACUCAAGAACAAUUUUGAAUUAUCAAGAUAUGCAUUUUAACGUCCAUCUUCUGAUUGGAUGAGCAGACUCAGCAUGGAGGAUUGAAAAGGAUAUUGGACAGUACAUAUCACUCUUCUGUCCCUUCACUGAAUUACGAUAUUAGUAUCAGCAGCGGGAUUGUCAGUGUCGUUCCCUAGCGCAAAACAUGAGGCAGGUGAUUGAUCAUCUCCCAAUUAAAACAUCCAUGAUUUUUCUUUUGCUAUCACUGUCUCCCACACUCCAGUGACAAGGCCUUGACUGGGACAAUAUGCUAAUGCUUGGGUGUUUAAUGUAUGACACUUACCUGGCAGGUAUAUAUAUAGCUAUAUUCUCUGUUCCACCUGGCAGAAAUUUUCAAAACUCGCGGCAAUCGCUAGUAACCUAUUAGUAGUUCAGGCAACCACCACCCCGUUACCGUGGCGCUAGCGCUAGGAACCGUUCCCAAUUGGGCCAGAUUUUCUCUGCCAGCCGAACCGGCAACAUUGUUGGUGGUUCCCUGCUAGAAUUUUCAUUCUCGUUGCUGACUGAUCUUGGAUUUUGGUAUUGUACUCGGAAACGUUAGCUUGGCAUUCGCUUUGGAUUGUUCUUUAAGAUGUCUGACUCGGGAAGUAUGUUUAGAGUGUGUGUAAAAGAGGGGUGUAAGGUAAGACUGCCGAAAGCUUCGGUCGACCCUCAUACCGUUUGUAAGAAAUGUAGGGAGAAUGUGUACUUGGGAGAAUAGA